rnacentral:lncRNA from 1 species
GGCGGGUCAGCGCAUUCCCAUUGAGGAAGAGCUGGUAGAUCUUGGAUGGUGGUGGCAGGAGGAGGCUGAUGGUAGUAAAUCCUUUGUUUUCACAAUUAAUGUUUAGCACGUUCUCCUUCUCCUCGCAAGGGCAGCGGCUCUUGCUGCAAAUGUCUUUGGUAGGUUUGCGACUUUCUAUCUGCAAGAUCCCAGCCACUGUUAACAAACUGAGCAACCAAACACCCUUCAGCAUCUUUAUGCGCCGUUGAUCCCUGCUUUAGUACCUACAGUCAAACCUGCUUUCGGGGUGCCCGAGCGGGCAGCAGGGGCAGGGGCCGCCACCGAGCGCCGCCGCCGCGCCCCGGG